rnacentral:misc_RNA from 1 species
GGAAUUCUGUGACAAACUUCUCCUCGCUUCUCCCUAUAUCUGUUUCACAAGCAUGGAUUAUUAAGUUUUGGGCAGUUAUCUAGAUUGUUGAAUUUAUAUGAGAUUUGAUUAUUGAAUUUUUGAAUUUGUUGAAAUUGAAUGCAAAUUUCGCAAUUGGGAUUGUUAAUUGAUUCUUGGUAUAUUUAUAUUUGUAUGAGUUAUUGAGGUUUGCUCUUUAAAAUUUUGGAUUUUUU